UCCCCAUAAGGAGUGGUGCUGGAGGUGGUACAAGGGAACUGGAGUAUCUGAGGGAAUUGCUUGUAUGACUUCUGGUUAGCCAGUGGGGUAAAACCAAAGUCCUCUCUGUUUGGCUGGUUUGGCAUACCUUAAUAGUAAAGGACAUCCAGCCUUGGGCUGUGACUGCCCUGCUCUCAGC